rnacentral:SRP_RNA from 1 species
GCCGGGCGCGGUGGCUCACGCCUGUAAUCCCAGCACUUUGGGAGGCUGAGGUGGGCGGAUCACCUGAGGUCGGGAGUUCGAGACCAGCCUGACCAACAUGGAGAAACCCCAUCUCUA